CCUACGGGAGGCAGCAGUGGGGAAUUUUGGACAAUGGGCGCAAGCCUGAUCCAGCAAUGCCGCGUGAGUGAAGAAGGCCUUCGGGUUGUAAAGCUCUUUUGUCAGGGAAGAAACGGCUGAGGCUAAUAUCCUCGGCUAAUGACGGUACCUGAAGAAUAAGCACCGGCUAACUACGUGCCAGCAGCCGCGGUAAUACGUAGGGUGCAAGCGUUAAUCGGAAUUACUGGGCGUAAAGCGUGCGCAGGCGGUUUUGUAAGUCUGUCGUGAAAGCCCCGGGCUUAACCUGGGAAUUGCGAUGGAGACUGCAAGGCUUGAAUCUGGCAGAGGGGGGUAGAAUUCCACGUGUAGCAGUGAAAUGCGUAGAGAUGUGGAGGAACACCGAUGGCGAAGGCAGCCCCCUGGGUCAAGAUUGACGCUCAUGCACGAAAGCGUGGGGAGCAAACAGGAUUAGAUACCCUGGUAGUCCACGCCCUAAACGAUGUCUACUAGUUGUCGGGUCUUAAUUGACUUGGUAACACAGCUAACGCGUGAAGUAGACCGCCUGGGGAGUACGGUCGCAAGAUUAAAAACUCAAAAUGAAAUUGACGG
rnacentral:rRNA from 1 species